UGUCAUAACACGAGAAAUCUUUAUCAUAUCCGUGUUAUUGAUUCUAUACAAUAGAAUUUCAUAUGUCAAAAUGUGAAUAAUAUUCCAUGUUCUAUUGAAAUGAUUUGAUCAUUUUCUUUCGUUUCAAGCUGAAGCAAAUUAGAUUACUUGCUGAACUUAAGCAUAUUAAUAAGCAAAGGAAAAGAAAUCAACUGAGAUUGCCUUAGUAAUGGCGAAUGAACCGGCAAAAGCUCAUUGCUGAAGCGUGUUAGAUUAACUUCUGAUAUGCAUUGUAGCAUUUGGGGUAACUACUGUAGGAUGCCUGUUCGUGUGAGUUCCUUUGAUCAGGGCUUUUACCAUAGAAGGUGCUAGUCCUAUAAUCACGAAUAGUUGUGUCUUACAUUGUCUACCUUUCGAGUAGCGUAGUUUGAGAUUGCUACGCCAACGUGGGACGUAAACUUGUUCCAAAGCUAAAUAUCAUAACGAGACCGAUAGCGAACAAGUACCGUGAGGGAAAGUUGAAAAGCACUCUGAAGAGAGAGUUAAAUAGUACGUAAAACCGUACAGAAGAAAACGAAUGGCCGCAUUCAUCAGAUGACUUUGAAUUCAAUUUGAUCUCUCUUGUAAUCCUAGUUGAUUUGGAACUUCAACAGUCCAUCGAUUAGUUAUUGCUUGGAAUCAAGUGCAUUUUCAAAGUAUUACUGAACCUGGAUCUAUAACAUACAGCUAGUCGAAUCAGCCUAUCUUGGUAGCGAGUUUACUCGUGAAGGAUAUGGUUUGCAUAAAUAACAAAUUCGACUUGGCGUUAUAGGUAAACAGACACGUUUUUGAUUUCAGUACCUCGUGUACGGCAUGUCAUGAGCAUUGUUUGUGUUGCAUAAGUGACUAAUGUCUAACCGGCUUUAGUUUCAUUUAUGUUGAUGCCUAAUGUUUUGUGGCUGUCAAUGAAAUCGGCAAGUCUACAGGAGUUUUGAAUGCCGAGUUAUUCGACCCGUCUUGAAACACGGUCUAAGGAGUUCACUGCAUGUGCAAGAGUUCGGCUGUAUGAAAAGCCUUGCUCGUAAUGAAAGUAAAGAACAUUCUUGCAAUGUUUAAAGUGUGAUUUCUGUCAUCUGGUGCAAAUCAUGACCAUGAACGCAACACUGACAGGUUCUAUUGCCGCUGGCAAAGAGCUUAGUAAGAGUAUAUGCAAUGAGACCCGAAAGAUGGUGAACUUAAUGUGUGUAGAAUGAAGCCAGGGGAAACCCUGGUGGAAGUUCGUAGCGGUUCUGACGUGCAAAUCGAUCGUCAAACAUGCAUUAAGGGGCGAAAGACUAAUCGAACCAUCUAGUAGCUGGUUCCGUCCGAAGUUUCCCUCAGGAUAGCUGGCGCUCAAUUUUCACAGUUAUAUCCGGUAAAGCGAAUGUUUAGAGGCAUUGGGCGUAAAAUACGCUCAACCUAUUGACAAACUUUAAAUGGGUAUGAAGUUCAUUUUUCUACUUCAUUGAGAAUGAACAGCGAAUGUGAGUGCCAAGUGGGCCAUUUUUGGUAAGCAGAACUGGCGCUGUUGGAUGCACAAAACGUCAAGAUAAAGAGCCAGAUGGUCUCGCUCAUCAGAUACCAUAAAAGGUGUUGGUCGAUAUAGACAGCAGGACGGUGGCCAUGGAAGUCGGAAUCCGUUAAGGAGUGUGUAACAACUCACCUGCCGAAUCGACUAGUCCUAAAAAUGGAUGGCGCUCGAGCGAGCCUCUUAUACUUGACUGUUACGAUACAACAAGCCAUUUUACGGACAUCAUGUCGUAACAAGUAGGACGGUUGAUAUGGUUGCGUCGAAGGCUAACACGUGAGUGUGGCUUGAGCAGUCAUAUGUACAGAUCUUAGUGGUAGUAGCAACUAUUCAAAUGAGAACUUUGAAGACUGACGUGGAGAAAGGUUCCAUGUGAACAGCUAUUGGACAUGGGUCAGUCAGUCCUAAGAUGCGCUCGAAAGAGGGUUCCGAACGAGGAAUAUCUAUUCAUUUAUUGAUUUAUAUUCCAUCCAAUCGAAAGGGAAACAAGUUAAUAUUCUUGUACUAAGUGUCGGAGAUUGUUUAACUUCACGUUGAACAUAUGUGGCAACACAAACGAGCUCAAAUACAUCACAAGUGGUCCUGGAAAGAGUUUUCUCUUCUUUGUUACUUCAUCAGACGACCCUGGAAUCAGUUCAACUGGAGAUAGGGUUCAAAUGAAGGUAAAGAGUAGCCGUUCUUGCUACUUCCUCGGUGCAUCAUUUGUGAUCCUUGAAAAUUUGAGCGAGAUAAUCAAUUUCGCACUUAUCUGUACUCUAAACCGCAUCAGGUCUCCAAGGUGAAAAGCCUCUAGUCAAUUAGAACAAGGUAGCACAAGGGAAGUCGGCAAAAUCGAUCGGCAACUUCGGGAUAACGAUUGGCUCUAAGUGCUAGGGUGUUCGGGCUUUAUGAUAAAGCAGUAGACUUGCCAUUGGAGCUGAACUUUUGGCUGCAGCAAUGUAGCUGAUCGUUCGGACUAGUGACUUGUCUUGCUGUGGAAUCGUUUUGCUACGGUAUGCGGUUCGUUCGCGGAUCGUAUUACUUCGGGCAUCGUUUAAUAGCAAACUUAGAACUCGCUGCGUCUAGGGGAAUCCGACUGUCUAAUUAAAACAGAGCUUUGCGAUUGGCCGGAAAACUUGGUGUUGACGCAAAGUGAUUUCUGCCCAGUGCUCUGAAUGUUAACGUGAAGAAAUUCAAAUAAGCGCGGGUAAACGGCGGGAGUAACUAUGACUCUCUUCUGGUAGCCAAAUGCCUCGUCAUCUAAUUAGUGACGCGCAUGAAUGGAUUAACGAGAUUCCCAC
rnacentral:rRNA from 1 species